AGUAAAUGCCAAAGUGUGUAAAAAGAAGAAGGGAAAGAAGAAGUGUGGAGGCAGUGUGUCUGGUAAAGGGAAGUGAGAGAAGUCCAGCACAACAGCUGCUACCGCUCCUGCAAAGCCGUUCCCUGACAAACCACUCUGUUUGUCUCUGGGCAGAAGAAAAGGACCAAAGAGAGGCCACAAAAGAGGGAGAGAGAAAAAGAUUGAGAGGAGAAAAGAGAGGCAAAGAAAGCCCCCUUCUGGCUCCCUCUAACCCAUACACAUCUCCCACUGCUUUGCCCAGUCUCUCACUCUCACUUGGCAACUAAAGGCCUCACACAAAGAAUUUCAGCUUUCAGCCAAAGACAAGGCCAGGAGGAGGCCGAACCUCCAGCAGACGACCGGUUGCCCCUGGACACCACUGUCCAGUAAAUAGAUUCCACCGAUUCUGAAAUUGAGUUCCAUGAUUUAAUAUGACUGUAUGAAGUACUACCUAUGUAUGCAGUAUAUGUAUGGUGUUCAAUGACUAAUGCUAAUGCAGAGCAAAAUGCUUAAAAGGGUCUAUUGAGCGCAUUCAUCUCCUCAGCUCAUUAGUAGUCACAAAAUCCCCUUUGCACGCUGCACUGCUUUCUACACAUUCUCUGUUCCUCUCUCUUAAACAUACACAGAAUGAAGAUAGAUUUGAUCUGGACUGUCUAAGGUCUAUGGAUGUAAAAACAGCAGACCUAUAUUUACACACAUACUGUAUUCUGCAGUGCUUUCACUUUUCUACCUACUAGAAAUUACUCACUGUUUAAGAAAAAAAAAUCAUGUACAUGGCCUAUUCUAGACUCCUCUGAGAUCACAAGCCUUACACUGAACAGAGAAGAAUGGUUUAAUGAAUAAAUGCCCUAUACCGGAGAGCAAAGACUGGUUUAAUUUGCUGCUAGUUUCCAGGCACGUACAAAGACCAAGAGCAAAAAGUUAUAAGAGAACUGCAUGUUCUGCUCCAGAGCUGGAUUUCUCCCUCAUCUUUAUGCUUUUAUCUCUGUCUUAUGAGAGGCGUUCAUCUAUAAACAGGACACAUUGCUUUGCCCACAUCAGAACUAAUCAUCCAUAUUUUUCAGCUCCCUCUUUCUCCACCAUCAGAACCAUGAUGGGCCAAAGCCACAGGCGUGCAGGAGAACCUGAUAGUCGUGGAAGUGGAGCUGCUCACUCGUUCUGGGUUGGAAUGCAUUUUUGCAGUGCUGCACUUUUUCACCAUAUCAGGGGAAUGAUUGCAGCUCCCCUCUGGAACGAUCAGCUUCCAUAUUCAUUUAUAUAACCCACCCACACACACACACACACACACACACACACACACACACACACACACACACA